rnacentral:lncRNA from 1 species
AUGGCCAUGGGGCGCUCAAGGGUGUAAGCUCGGAGGCGGGUUGUCUCUGGAUGUUGGCAUAUCUCUGACAUCGGUCACACUUUCUGACGUAUUCAAUGGAGUCACGAUACAUUGUCGGCCAGUAAUACCCUUGGCGGAGCAACUUGUGGGAUAAGGAUCUAGCCCCCAGAUGGCUUUCGCAGAUUCCUUCGUGCACCUCCCACAAGGCGUAGUCAGCUUUCGAAGGUCGGAGACAUUUUAAAAGGGGCAAAGAGUAUGAUCUCUUGUACAACUUGUCCUCAUAAAGGAUGUAUCGGGAGGUUUGAUUUCUGAGCUUCCGAGCCUCUUUUGCAUCAUGAGGGAGAAUCCCGUCUCUGAGAUAUGCCACCAGUGGGUCGAUCCAACUGGGUUCAUGGCC